AAGAGCCUCUAUCCCCA
rnacentral:tRNA from 1 species